rnacentral:rRNA from 1 species
UACGGAGGGUGCAAGCGUUAAUCGGAAUUACUGGGCGUAAAGCGUGCGUAGGUGGUUCGUUAAGUCCGUUGUGAAAGCCCCGAGCUCAACUUGGGAAUUGCAGUGGAUACUGGCGAGCUGGAGUGCGGUAGAGGAAGGUGGAAUUCCCGGUGUAGCGGUGAAAUGCGUAGAUAUCGAUCAAGAACACCGAUAGCGAAGGCAGCUUACUGGGCUGUAACUGACGCUGAUGCACAAAAGUGUGGGGAUCAAACAGG